rnacentral:lncRNA from 1 species
CCUCAGCCAUACACUGAAGCAUGUAGAGUGAUAUCCAUAGACUUCCAUCUCAUGUCGGCAUUCCUGUUAUCAAGACACUCCCUCUGAAGCUAUGGAGUUGCAGAGCUGUUUGCAGGUGGUCCAGCUGACUCUUAUAUGAGGCAAUGACCUUCUCUGCACUGUAACAUACUGGUGCUGGACCCGGCUGUAUGUGAAUUCCUCGCAGACUAGGAGAGUUAGGAGGAGCACUGACUACGUGGUACCCAGCAGCUAGCAAAUUGCAUACCUGCUCUACGUGGGAACCCAGCAGAGCAGGAUGGCCCAGGGCCUCAGCAGAGAGCUUCCUGGGAUCUCGGCCAUAUGGCACACUGCACUGGUUACGCGUGAAGAGGUUCACUUGAGGCUUUCCUAUACAUGUGGUUAACAAGACAGUCUACUUCUUCAGCAGGUUUCAAUUAGUGUGGCUGCUCUGUGGGCGGCACUGGCUCAGUCUGGCAGCUUUGCCAAUGGUCUCAUUGGCUUCUCUUACUUUUGCCUGCAUGACUCUGGGUCUUCAGCUGCUGAUAGAAGAAACGUCUUUUCUGACUGCACUGCAAGGGGCUCUGGAGACACCUGAGCUGUAGGUAGUGUACAGCUGGCACAUCUGAAUGUAAUGCCAGUCAGCGAGCUGGGAGAAAGGACUGCUAUCAUCUUGGGUGUCCACAGGGGAGGAAAGGGUGAGUGCUCUGAAACUCUUCCUAUUCCAGCUGUGUCUUUUCCCCUCCACGGAG